GAUGAACGCUGGCGGCGUGCCUAAUACAUGCAAGUCGAGCGAACAGACGAGGAGCUUGUUCCUCUGACGUUAGCGGCGGACGGGUGAGUAACACGUGGAUAACCUACCUAUAAGACUGGGAUAACUUCGGGAAACCGGAGCUAAUACCGGAUAAUAUAUUGAACCGCAUGGUUCAAUAGUGAAAGACGGUUUUGCUGUCCCUUAUAGAUGGAUCCGCGCCGCAUUAGUUAGUUGGUAAGGUAACGGCUUACCAAGGCGACGAUGCGUAGCCGACCUGAGAGGGUGAUCGGCCACACUGGAACUGAGACACGGUCCAGACUCCUACGGGAGGCAGCAGUAGGGAAUCUUCCGCAAUGGGCGAAAGCCUGACGGAGCAACGCCGCGUGAGUAAUGAAGGUCUUCGGAUCGUAAAACUCUGUUAUUAGGGAAGAACAAAUGUGUAAGUAACUAUGCACGUCUUGACGGUACCUAAUCAGAAAGCCACGGCUAACUACGUG
rnacentral:rRNA from 1 species